UCCUCGGUAGCUCAGUUGGUAGAGCGGUCGGCUGUUAACCGAUUGGUCGCAAGUUCGAGUCUUGCCCGAGGAGCCA
rnacentral:tRNA from 2 species